AUUGAACGCUGGCGGCAGGCCUAACACAUGCAAGUCGAGCGGAUCGGCGGACGGGUGAGUAUUGCCUAGGAAUCUGCCUGGUAGUGGUGGAUAAAGUCCGGAAACGGGCGCUAAUACCGAAUCAUAUCAGAUGAGCCUAGGUCGGAUGAGCUAGUUGGUGGGGUAAAGGCCUACAAAGGCGGCGAUCCGUAACUGGUCUGAGAGGAUGAUCAGUCACCAUGGAACGGAGACACGUUCCAGACUCCUACGGGAGGCAGCAGUGGGGAAUAUUGGACAAUGGGCGAAAGCCUGAUCCAGCCAUGCCGCGUGUGUGAAGAAGGUCUUCGGAUUGUAAAGCACUUUAAGUUGGGAGGCGUUACCAACAGAAUAAGCACCGGCUAACUUCGUGCCAGCAGCCGCGGUAAUUC
rnacentral:rRNA from 1 species